rnacentral:lncRNA from 1 species
AAAAUUCGGACAUCACCACAGCACACUUGGUUCUUUCGCUCCUUGCUCGCGGAGCGGCAUACCGAAAAAAAGAAAGAAGAAAAUCCAGAGAGAUCAUAGUUCCAAAUGGCCCUUAAGACCCUUCGAUUACCUUCUUUUUGGAAGGUAAUCUUUAAUGAGCGGCUUAAGGAGAUUUGGGUCAUCUCUGAUUUUCUCCACCCAUUCCCGGGGGCUUUCGGCAUCUGUCUCCCGGGAGAUUUCUAAGUCGUAAUACAUUAUCGACUCCGCGGCACUGGAGUCUACUUCCCUCAUUUCCGGAAAUAGCACGGGCAGCCGCACCCCCUGUGCCUUUUUAGACUCCUCUUGCAGCUGUUCUAUGAUCAAGGUCUGCACUUCGAGAAGAAGUGCAGCACGCUCUUCUUGAUCGGGAUCGGGGNNNN